UGGGGAAUCUUGGGCAAUGGAGGAAACUCUGACCCAGCCACGCCGCGUGCAGGAAGACACCCCUAUGGGGCGUAAACUGCUUUUAUAAGGGAAGAAGUCCGCCUUCUUGGCGGUUUGACGGUACCUUAUGAAUAAGCACCGGCUAACUCCGUGCCAGCAGCCGCGGUAAUACGGAGGGUGCAAGCGUUGUCCGGAAUCACUGGGUGUAAAGGGUGUGUAGGUGGGAUAGUAAGUCAGAGGUGAAAGCCCCCGGCCUAACCGGGGAACUGCCUUUGAUACUGCUAUUCUUGAGUCCUGGAGGGGUCACUAGAAUUCGUGGUGUAGCGGUGAAAUGCGUAGAUAUCACGAGGAAUACCAGAGGCGUAGGCGGGUGACUGGACAGGUACUGACACUGAGGCACGAAAGCGUGGGGAGCAAACAGGAUUAGAUACCCGCGUAGUCC
rnacentral:rRNA from 1 species